CAUUCUGAAAGGAAAAUACAGCUUGGUAAAUGAUUCAGCUGUUGGUUACGGAUGGAUGAUUGCGACACUUCCGGCAUUGCUUAAUUAUUAUCUUUUUCCUGAUUAUGAGUGGCUGCUAUCUGAAACGAGGGUCUUCAGGAUGUCGAAGAGGGAUGCACGGAUGAAAUAGGAUACGCGGAGGAUACCAGGGGAACGAAACUGGCCAAUAAGAGGGCAGAGGGGAAUGGAAAUAGCAAGGGAACGAGAGAAUGAAGGAAGAGGAGGAUUAGCCUUCCUUUCCACCUGUCUUCAUUGUUCCCCGAGCUCAAGUGGCUUUCGCGCUAAUACCCUUAACGGAUCAAAAUCGAUUUCCUAUUGGUAGAAUUCGUGGGAGUGGAAAAAAGGAUAAUCGAAGCUACGUUACCAUGACGACGUCGGUUAUAAGAUUGGCCCAUAGGAGAAGCCCGUGUCCCAAAAUUUCUACUGGCUUAUACUCCGCGCGAUCA